rnacentral:tRNA from 2 species
GGGCGAGUGGUGAAAUUGGUAUACACGCAAGCUUGAGGUGCUUGUAGCCGCAAGGCUGUGGAGGUUCAAGUCCUCUCUCGCCCA